rnacentral:lncRNA from 1 species
CAAUAUUUUCAUUCUUGUUUCUCGUUUCCUCCCCUUUUUCGACACUUCUUGUAGCUUAGGAGAGAGGAGCAUAUGUUAAAAAUGUCAGGGAAUUAGUUUACAACAUUAGCCUAAGGCUUUCAGAACUUACUUUUACUGGUAUUUGAUUUGUGCACAAACAUCACUUGUGUUUUUACUGGAAGAAACCAAAACUUUUGCACAUGGAUAUAACUUUCAGCAAAAAGAUUUGGAAAUCUUUAAUUAGAGACAAUUUCUUCACUCAGUAUAUGUUGAAGAAAAGCCCACACAGAAUGACAGGCUAAAAACUGUUAUAAAUCAUGGACGACCUUCCACCAAGAAACAGCAAAAACAAUAUGGCACUUCUAAGUAUCAGUCAGUGUUGUUCAAAGACCUUGACUAUUAUUCCAAAUUGAGAAACACAGUUGUUUUUUGGGACAUAAUAUGGCUGGGAUGCACGAGCAAAGCUUGGUUUGAAAGAAUGAUCCACUUGAGUUUUAGAUGUUGAUAAAAACAAGUUUCGGGUCAGCCGCCAGACAUGUAAUGUCGUAGGUCAUGUAUUUGAGAUGGCAGCUACUCUUUGGUUAUGAUGAUGAUGAUUGGUGAUCUUUGAGCAGGAUUAAUAUCAUGACAGAGGAAGAAGAUGCAAAAAUAAUAUUUUAUGCUGCAACAUGCCUUAUUUUGGAAAAGUUGUUCAAGUUGUAAUCACAUCUGUCCUGAUCAAAGCAUUGCUCAAGGACUUUUUUUACUGAGGAGACUUUAUAAUGAAUCUUAUUACAAGAGCAAUGACUACCUUGAUGAUAAUAUGAAGAUGAUAUUGACAAGAG